rnacentral:rRNA from 1 species
AAAGAGUCCCUCCCGACUGUUUACCAAAAACACAGCACUUUGCCAACUCGUAAGAGGAAGUAUAAGGUGUGACGCCUGCCCGGUGCUCGAAGGUUAAGAGGAUGUGUCAGUCGCAAGAUGAAGCGUUGAAUUGAAGCCCGAGUAAACGGCGGCCGUAACUAUAACGGUCCUAAGGUAGCGAAAUUCCUUGUCGGUUAAAUACCGACCUGCAUGAAUGGCGUAACGAGAUGGGAGCUGUCUCAACCAGAGAUUCAGUGAAAUUGUAGUGGAGGUGAAAAUUCCUCCUACCCGCGGCAAGACGGAAAGACCCCGUGGACCUUUACUACAACUUAGCACUGCUAAUGGGAAUAUCAUGCGCAGGAUAGGUGGGAGACUUUGAAGUAAGGGCUUUGGCUCUUAUGGAGCCAUCCUUGAGAUACCACCCUUGAUGUUUCUGUUAGCUAACUGGCCUGUGUUAUCCACAGGCAGGACAAUGCUUGGUGGGUAGUUUGACUGGGGCGGUC